UGAAGACCCUGUAUUUUCUCUCUUUUUUUUUUUUUUCUCCCUCUCAUUCCCAGACUUAUUUUGAGACUGAUCCAUCCUACAAUGCCAAUGUAACUUGCAGGUGUUUCCUGUCACUAUUUCUGACCACAAUGGCUGAAGACCACCUUAUCAAGGAUGGAGCAGUGAAACACUGGAGCACCUCCAUCCCAGUUUGGGGCAGUGCUGGACCUAAAACAAAAAUAGAAUGGAAGAACAGUCCCAGUGGAGAGAAGUAAAUGAGAGAGGCAGAGGGGUGAAGAGAAGAAAGGAGUAAAGGAAGAAUCACAUCGGGUGACUGAUCCUCCAAGGGGCGAGCUGGAGAAAUGUGCUCCUCAGGGACCUCUGGCAGGAGGAUAUCUUCAGUUCUGCAGAAGUAAUUCCAGAGCACGAGACCAUCAGAAUGAACAGGUCCUGCGAUGUGAUCCAUCCAGAAUACAUAACACUCCCUGUGUCCAAGAGGAAAGUGCAACCAAAAACCACCCGGAGACAUAAAUAUCGUGGCUGCAGCUCAUUUAACUAGCAAGUGCACUAUCAAUGUCACUUCUGAGCUGGUGGCUUCCAGCUAGAGCUCCCUGAACACUGCGGUUCCUAUUCUUUCCAACACGGAGAAAUUCCAGGAAGAACUCGGCAAUUUCUGAAGCAGGACCCUGGCAUUCUGGAAUUUCUCAUCUAAUGAAG
ensembl:lncRNA